AGAUAGUUUAAAGCUGUUUAGGCAUAAGUAAAUAUGUACACAAAAUGUUUAUAGGCAUAAGUUCACUAAAUGAUAAGAUGAUGCCAUACUCCUUAUUGGUCUAAAUCCUCAAAAUUGUCAAAGUAAUGGAAUGGUACUACUCUGUUCUGCUCUGGUACGAAGCCCUUUGGGGAUUUUCCAUUGUUUUAUAAGAACCAAGAUCUGCUGGUCACAAUUAUUUAUUUAUUUGUCACAUGACUGUUCUGUUUCACCAAGUUUUAUUUAGUACAAACUGCAUAUGUUCCAAAGAUUCCAAAACACUUUCCUGUUUUACCCCAUUGACUAGUAUUUGCAGAAUAUUAGUAGUGAAAGGACUAAAGCCUAGAUUUACAUUUUAGUUUUAUCAAAGCAUACACUGUUUAAUGAUGGAAGUACACUAAAGUUUAAAGGCAUAAUAAAAAUUAUUUUGCCUAAAAAUAAUUACAUUUAUUUUCUCACGAAAUGAAUGGAUAUCUUGUUGCUAGGUGUGUAAACUAGAAACUAUCCUUGUUGUCAAGUAAUCUGGUUUUGUGAUUUAUUGGUUACCUGUCUAAACACAAUAGAGUAAUGAUGAACGCCUUAGCGUCUGGGAACCACUCAAGCGUUAUAUUAACUUCGGAUCACGUGCAAUAUUCACAGUUGAAUUUAAGGUGUACUGGCUAGCGUUUCAGAUCGAUGUUAAAUUGAAUAGCUAGAUUUACAUGCCACGUGGACGAUACAGAGCGCGCCAGGAACGUAGAGGCAAGCCAGCUUGUUUGGAGGAUGUCCAAGGAAAGCAAACAAAAGACGGUGGAUUUGCCAAUAAAUCUCAUGCAUCAAACAAAUGCUGAUGAUAUGCUGCCAUUUGGAUGUUAACAUCGGAAGUGAACAGAAUGCAGGCACCUUACACAGAUACAAAAUUGAACAGAUUCCUGGGCUACAAAUCAAUCGUGAAACAGACAAAUUCAAUUUGGUAUUAACUUUUUCCAGAUGGCUGAUGAUGAGAAACCUAGAUGACAAUUUACCAAGUUAUGCAUUGAGGACCAAAAGAAAAAAGAAAAAAUAUAGACAUUUUAGUUAUACUGAUAAGAAUUUAUUUAAAGUGAAUCUAAAAUUCAAAUUAAUCUUCUUUAUCUUUAUACUGAUGUCACUCCUAAUAUAUUAAGGGCCGAGAAAAAUUCUGUCGACCGCGGGGGCGAUCGGGCGUGCUUACGAACGUUGUCAUAGUAUGGAUGUUACUGUGUAAAAGGUAUUGCUCUAGUGCUUUGGCAAUAUCUGACUAGCCUUGCUUAAAUGUGUCAUAGCCUUGCUUAUGUCAUAGCCUUGCUCAUUAUAGUAUAGUUGCCUUGCUUAGAAUUACAGUACGUUGCCUUGCUCCGUUGGUCCGCUAAAUAUUCCUUCAUUACUUUGGCAGCCAACCGUCGAGUUAUGGGGAAUGUUUAAUUUACUGUGGUGUACUGUAGCCUUGCUCCGUUGGUCCGCUAAAUAUUGUGGUGUACUGUAGCCUUGCUCGCUUUGCUUAGAAUCACAGUACGUUGCCUUGCUCCGUUGGUCCGCUAAAUAUUGUGGUGUACUGUAGCCUUGCUCGCUUUGCUUAGAAUCACAGUACGUUGCCUGGCUCCGUUGGUACGCUAAAUAUUCCUCAUUACUUUGACAGCCAACCGUCGAGUUAUGGGGGUGUUUGGUUUACUUUGGUGUACUGUGGUAUCCCUUGCGUUCGUGUGGUGCUGACUGUUGCUUCCACAGCAAACCGUGGAGUAAUGAUGUGGUGCUUUACAGGCGCGUCUGGUUUCCUCCCGGUCGACAGGGUUGCUACAAACAAUG